CCGCCGACCAUUCCCGACGAGCUCCUGGAGGAGAUCUUCAUCCGCCUGCCCACCCCGGACGCGCUCGCCCGCGCCUCCGCCGCCUGCACCUCCUUCCGCCGGGUCAUCAAAGGCCGCGCCUUCCGCACGCUGCAUGGCCCUCCCCUCCUCGGCUUCAUGGACGCGGGCGGAUUCCACCCCGCCCAGGCGCCGCACCCCUCCGCCCCGCUCGCCCCCUGCGGAGCCGACUUCUCCUUCGUCCCGGCCGUCGUUUCUUCUUCGUCCUACUACGUCCCGCCGGGCGCCCAAGAAGACGACGGGGAAGGCCCACGCUGGCGCCCCCGCGACGUCCGCGACGGCCGCGUCCUCCUCGAUUGGAGAUCCUUCUACCCCCGUUCCGUCCACAUGUGGAGCUACCGCCAAGACUGUGCCCGCCGUCAGGUAAGCAUCCUCAUGGACUCCAGUGAGCUCGGUGAUGAAGAACGCUGUGACCGCCCGACGUGGACCAAAUGGGAGCGGUGCAACGCUGCCGACUUCCACCUUGCCGUCUAUGACCCGCUGUCCAGCAGAUAUGUCUUGCUUCCAACCAUACCUGAGGACCUCGCCGCCCAACCGCAGGAUCGCCUCCAUGGAUUCAAGCCCGUGCUUGCUCCCAACACCAGGGACGACGGCGAGGAAGAGCCCUUCAAGGUGAUAUGCAUAGCAAGAUACAUGACGAAGCUUGUCCUCUUUGUGCUCCCGGCCACAACUAUGCAAUGGUCUAUG
rnacentral:rRNA from 1 species